ensembl:scaRNA small Cajal body-specific RNA 17
CCCCGUGGUCCCCAAUGCAGCUCCCCAGAUGAGCUCGCAGUAUUUUCCUUAUAUGAUCAGGCCCCACUGCUGGCGGCGCCGCUUGCCUGGAGCCUGAGAGGAUUAUGAAAACGUGUCGGGCGAGGUGGGGCCAGGGGACCGGGGG